rnacentral:rRNA from 1 species
GACUCGUCUGACGUACGUAUCAGCUGUCGAUCUGCUAGAUGAGGUGAUCGUCGAGCACUAGCUACUACGCUCAUCGUACUAGAGUAGCAUGAUCUUACGUGAUGCAAAUCAGAGAACAUGCUAGCGUCUGACUACUACUAGACUAGCUAGAAUAAAGCUAAGAUCUGUGUCAGCUUACGUGUCUAGAUAGUCAUCCGAUCGACGUACUAGCAUCAGUAUCGCUGCAGACGUCGCAGCUAGUCUCAUGAUGACUGUCCGACAGCGCGAGCAUGCGAUAUCGAUGCACGCGAGACUACUAGCUUGACAUGAUCGUACGUCAGAGAUGACGCCUCUGUGGCGCUCACAGAUGUGCAUGCUGUCGUCAGCUCAUGUCGUGAGAUGUAGGAUGAGUCCGCAACGAGCGCAACGCUCGUCUACUGCUGCAGCAUUUGAUCGAGGACUCAGUCGAGAUCGCCGCGGUCAACUCGCAGGAAGGUGUAGAUGACGUCAAGUCAUCAUGCUCCUUAUGUCCAGGGUUCACGCAUGCUACAAUGACCGGUACACAGAGUGGCGACAUCGUGAGGUGGAGCGAAUCUCAGAAAGCCGGUCUCAGUUCGGAUUGGGGUCUGCAACUCGACCCCAUGAAGUCGGAGUCGCUAGUAAUCGCAGAUCAACAACGCUGCGGUGAAUACGUUCACGGGGCUUGUACACGCCGCCCGUCAAGUCAUCAAAGUCGGUAACGCUCUAAACAAUGCGUCAACACAAAUAGCACCGUGUCUCCUCGUACUAGUC